GUGAAUUUGAACGACGCCAUACUAAACUCGGAUUUAUAUAUUUAUCGAGUGUGAUUCAGUUUAAGACUGAAAUUGUUGCGAACCUAGUUAAUAUUUUCGACUUUGAAUUCAGGACAAAAGCCCGUUCUCGUGGGCGGUUUGUGCGGAGUUGGUGCACUGUUCGAAGCACGUGGUACCAAACGUCGUGACCGUUGGGUCCGACAUCUAUAAGACGUCGAGUGAACCGUCGUUGGAAAGCCACGUCUGCGACGCCGUCGACGCGUUGGUUUCACCGAAAGCUCAGUGGGCGUCGUUUCGUCGAUAGGAUACACCCGUCCCAGAGCCGCAUCGAACCACAACGUAACUUGCACGUGGUAGGCGUUACGACUCGCAAGUAAAUAAGCCGCGUGGCGUUUGCCGAGCAAUAUUAACGGCAAUCACUCCACUGUGCUAGGGGAUAUUUGUACCCCGAAACUCAACGCCAGCGCGCGAGUCAACUGGGUGGUGUGAAAGCUUUUCCUUGGUAUCGACAACGGCGACGCAAAGCAAGGUGAGUUGCGUCCAGCCUACUUUCGCUUGUGGCAUCCACGAAAGCUCGAA